AUUGUUGUAGCCUCCGUUGGUGUACCCACCAUAGGGUGGAUAGUGCAUUGGGGCAGGGGAGUACGGGGAUCCAAGAACAGCAGAAGACACUACUUCUGGUGAGUAUGCAGCAUAAGGAUCCCUUAGAGCUGGAGGGCUUCUGCUACCAUAGACACCAUGUCCCACUGUCCUGUCAUAAGGAUAGAGAGGAGCCGCAGCAGCUGGGUACGAGGGGUGUGAUGAGGGAGAACGGACAAAUGUAGCAGCAGCAUUUGGUGUUGGAAAAGAGGAGACAUAGGCGUUAUGUGUCAGGCGACCAGCCUUGGCAGGAGGCAUCAGCCCCCCACAAUUUACCCGUGUGCGCUUGUUGGCAGGGCCAGUAGGGCUGGGCGAUUUCUUUUUCUCAGCCUUCGCCUUCUCCAGAUGUUCAAGGCGCUUCUGAAGAUCCUCUAACGGAAACUCAGUUUCAAGUUUGUGCUCCUCAAUACAUUUCAU
rnacentral:misc_RNA from 1 species